AUAUAGAUUAAGUUAUUAAGGGCGCACGGUGGAUGCCUUGGCACUAGAAGCCGAUGAAGGACGUUACUAACGACGAUAUGCUUUGGGGAGCUGUAAGUAAGCUUUGAUCCAGAGAUUUCCGAAUGGGGAAACCCAGCACGAGUUAUGUCGUGUUAUCUGCAUGUGAAUACAUAGCAUGCAAGAAGGCAGACCCGGAGAACUGAAACAUCUUAGUACCCGGAGGAAGAGAAAGAAAAAUCGAUUCCCUGAGUAGCGGCGAGCGAAACGGGAAGAGCCCAAACCAAUAAGCUUGCUUAUUGGGGUUGUAGGACACUCUGUACGGAGUUACAAAAGAAUUUGUUAGACGAAUAACCUGGAAAGGUUAAUCA
rnacentral:rRNA from 1 species